UUGUUUUGAAAAUGAUAUAAAAAUGCGAAAUUUUCACAGAACGUUUUCGCAGCCGUGCGUACAAGAGCUUCCCAGUGCAUCCUCUAUCCAAAUGACGCCACCACGGAACGAUGUGCCGCUGCUUGUUUCUGAACAGGUUUUGAUAGGAGGGCUUAACCGGACUGGUACCAGCUUGUGGGUUCCGUCUCCGUACACCGUGGCUUCUCACUCCGUGUCCUCGGGGCGCCGUCUCCUGAUAGUCCUGCUGCUGGCGGGGUCGUGCGGCGUGCUGGCCUUGGAAAUCCGGGAAUACAGACGGGGACGCGGCUCGGCCAAGUGUGGAAGUGUAUGCGGGGGUGAGAGCGGGACCGAAUGCGAGGCCGGGUGUAGAUGCCUCAGAUUCUUCGGCUACAAAACCAACGCGGGUCUCUGCUGGCCCAUGUUGGAGCAACCCAAAUGCGGCGGUGGCUGCGGCCCCCUCUUGAAGACCUACUGUGAAAGCGGGUGUACCUGCAUCUAUGACGGCUUCGAUGCUUUGGGCUUCUGCAUGCCAUACGGGACUGCCGAGUGCGGCGGUGAGUGCAGCACCAUGUUGGGCACCAGAUGUCCGGCCGAAUGUACAUGCGUACUCCGCCAGCCCCACAUAGCGGAUGGUGGUGGCACCUGCCGGCGAAUAAUGUCCGCCCGGGAGUUGUUAGGGCCGAGGUUCCAGGGAAACUGGUCCGACGCAGAAUUUAACGAGUGGAUUUCGCAGCGAAACUGGACCGAUGCCGAAUGGACCAACUGGUAUUGGCGCGUACGCGCCGUGAUUCCUUAGUGGCUAUGGUGGUAGGCUGCUAAGUACGAGUUCACGGGAUUGAUCUCCCCGCCACGGCUGCUGCAUUUCGAUGGGGGCGAAAUGCGAACACACCCGCGUGCUUAGAUUUAGACGUACGUUAAAGAACCCCAGGUGGUCGAAAUUUCCGGAGUGCCCCACUUCGGCGUGCCUCAUAAUCAAAAAGUGGUUUUGGCACGUAAAACUACAUUAUUUAAUUUUUUAUUGCGGUGGAUGAACGGCCAGCAUUCUUUCCUCUGGAAAUGAACCAAUCCAUUACUUCUUUUUUUUUUCGUCGUUCACUCCGAAUUACAAAUUUCAUGCUUUUUAUGCUUUGAAUACAUGUUGUCCUGCUCCGUUUUGUUAAUAAAGUCAGGCGUCGUGUUUCA